ACCUUGAUAUACGGUGGUUGCUUC
rnacentral:siRNA from 1 species